rnacentral:rRNA from 1 species
CCUAGUAACGGCGAGUGAACCGGGAAGAGCUCAAAUUUGAAAUCUGGCGUGCUCAGUGCGUCCGAGUUGUAAUCUAUAGAGUCGUUUUCCGUGCCGGACUGUGUCCAAGUCCCUUGGAACAGGGUAUCAAAGAGGGUGAUAAUCCCGUACUUGACACAAUGACCGGUGCUCUGUGAUACGUCUUCUACGAGUCGAGUUGUUUGGGAAUGCAGCUCAAAAUGGGUGGUGAGUUCCAUCUAAAGCUAAAUAUUGGCGAGAGACCGAUAGCGAACAAGUACCGUGAGGGAAAGAUGAAAAGCACUUUGGAAAGAGAGUUAAACAGUACGUGAAAUUGUUAAAAGGGAAACGAUUGAAGUCAGUCGUGACUGAGAGGCUCAGCCGGUUCUGCCGGUGUAUUCCCCUCAGUCGGGUCAACAUCAGUUUUGUUCGGUGGAUAAGGGCGGUUGGAAGGUGGCACCCUCGGGUGUGUUAUAGCCAACUGUCGCAUACAUCGGAUGAGACUGAGGAAUGCAGCUCGCCUUUAUGGCCGGGGUUCGCCCACGUUCGAGCUUAGGAUGUUGACAUAAUGGCUUUAAACGACCCGUCUUGAAACACGGACCA